rnacentral:misc_RNA from 1 species
GGGAGAAGUCAGGACAA